UGGCAAUUAGGUAAUUCUGAUUGGUACAAAAAAAGAGGAAUGUAACUUUUUCUGGAAAGAUGGGUUGGAUGGCUGAGAGUGAGGAGGUUGUGAGCUAUAUGAAGAAAGAAGGGGAAGGUUUGGAAGUCUGUAAGCAGAAUGGGAGAUGGAAUUGAGUACGGACAAGUAAAAGAAUGUUUAAGCUAUGUUGCGGGACUGCAGGGCUUAGAGACAUAGCGUGCAUAUGGAAUAAAUGUGAAAUAUAGAAAUAUAGCCUCCAGGAAGGCUCCCCCGGUGAUUAUAGGCUGGGCUAAGGUGCCUCUUAGCCUUCACACAUCCCGGUUCCACCUUCCUGUGGCAGUCAGCGCCUUGUUUUACUAUCUGUUCUCUGUUUCUCCCUCCAGAGCUCCAGGAAGGCAACAGCUGACCUUGUAUUUCCAGAGCUGGGACAGUCGCCUGACACUAGUGGAUCCCAGGAAAUUGAAAGCAUCUGGAAGGAAUUCCUGUAACUGGAGUCAGUGGAGUCAAGGGUAUGAACUUGUAAAGAACUCUGUUAAGCCAAGCAGCUCUCGAGGAGGUUGCUUCAAUCAGAAUGUUUGAGCGCCCACUGCCCUGCAUCCUAGUAAGUAUCAUGUAUGAACAAUUAGAGGUUAUUUAUGGAAGACACUGAAGUCAGCACAGAGCAUCAGGAUUGUAUAGUUCUCGGUACUGUCUUAUUUGGGUUGAUCUGCCUUCGUUAUGGGAGAAGACAAUAGCAAAGCUGUUCAGUUUAAGUAGAAAUGGCUACACUAGCACAGGGUGACACUAUUAAAUUUAAAUUCAGACCAAAAAAAUCUAUCUUACGUUUAUGAAAGUCUAAGCUUUUAGGAAAUUCAGGUACAGUACAGAAGAAAAUAGAGCAUCAAUUUAAAUCAUAUUUAAAAGAAAAUAUCUUGCAACAAGCACUUGAACCAAAGUUUUUUAAAAAGUAUGUGCACUCUCCAGUAGGAAGCAUGUAUGUUUGGGAAACAAAUUGUGCAAAUUAAUUCCAUGUGCAAUCAGAGAAUAAUCAUUUCAUGUUAUUAUGCUUUAACGUAAGGGAGAAAGAGAAAUUCUUGCUUUCCUUUGGUGGUUGGAUUAUGUUGUAUUACUUGUGCCAAGUUCUUUUAUACAUUCUCUCUAAUACUCACAAACCUCAGCAAGGAAGAUUUUUUGGUUCUGAUUUUACAGAUUAGGAAUCAGGCUGAGAGAAGUGAGAAACUCAUAGGCGGGUAUUGGAGCCAAGGUUUGUCUGAGUUCAGAACUGAAUCAUUCCACAGGCCCGAGGACUCCCCGAAAGAUACAAUAAGGUUCUGUGUGAGAGAAAAUGAGGGAGACCCUGACCCUGGCCGGUGACAAAAAGGGCCGAUGAUACAAAACUAUAACCUCCCUCUCUGGUGGCCUGAAGUGGAAAU
rnacentral:lncRNA from 1 species